rnacentral:tRNA from 1 species
GCCGCAUUAGCUCAGUGGUAGAGCAGUGCUUUCGUAAAGCAAAGGUCGGGUGUUCAAAUCACCCAUGCGGCACCA